rnacentral:tRNA from 1 species
GGGUGAUCGGCUACGAUGGUGGAGUAGCACCGGACUGUAAAUCCGGUACAUCAGAAACGUAAUAGGUUCGAAUCCUAUAUCACCCA